AUGAAAGCCCUAGGUAAAGGGGGGUUAAAGGCGAAGGUGAAGGUGCCUAGUCGUUUUGUAGAUUCCAAAACGGGGGAAAUGAUGAUAGACGAUCUGAUUGAGAACAUUGUUUCCAGUGGCACGUACGAUGAUGAUUUUCUCCGUAGAAUUGUUCUGGUUCUUCUGGGCACGGUUCUUGCACCACAGUCCACGAGAGAAGUUCCUAAUGCUUAUUACAAGUUAGUGGACGAUGUGGAGGCCAUCAAAGCAUUUAAUUGGAACGCGUUUACUUUACGCGUUUGCGUGGAAGGCAUCACAAAGACCUUAUCAGAUCUUACAAAAUUUACUUGGCCGAUCAGAAACCUUGCCCUCAUACAGUACUUGUUUUGGGAGAAAGUGCAGCCACUGGAUGAAGAAGCAUUUGAUCCACUAGCUCAUGAAUAUCCGUUGAUGCUUAAUUGGUCAGAAGAUGAGGCUAUGAAGCGUGACGCGUACGACACAUCAUACGGCCGUGGUAAUGGGACAAUUGAUGAUGUGAUAAGUGAGAAGUACAGAUAG
rnacentral:rRNA from 1 species